rnacentral:rRNA from 1 species
AGAGUUUGAUCCUGGCUCAGGAUGAACGCUAGCGGGAGGCCUAACACAUGCAAGUCGAACGGGAUUGAGAGCUUGCUCUCAUGAGAGUGGCGCACGGGUGAGUAACGCGUAUGCAACCUACCUAUAACUGAGGGAUAGCCCAUAGAAAUGUGGAUUAAUACCUCAUAGUUCUUUUGAUCCGCAUGGAUUAAAAGAUAAAGCUCCGGCGGUUAUAGAUGGGCAUGCGUGACAUUAGCUAGUUGGUAAGGUAACGGCUUACCAAGGCUACGAUGUCUAGGGGUUCUGAGAGGAUGAUCCCCCACACUGGUACUGAGACACGGACCAGACUCCUACGGGAGGCAGCAGUGAGGAAUAUUGGUCAAUGGGCGCAAGCCUGAACCAGCCAUCCCGCGUGCAGGAUGAAGGCCC